GAGUUUGAUUCAUGGCUCAGGACGAACGCUGGCGGCGUGCUUAACACAUGCAAGUCGAACGAUGAAGCCUAGCUUGCUAGGUGGAUUAGUGGCGAACGGGUGAGUAAUACGUGAGUGACCUACCUUUGACUCUGGGAUAAGCCUGGGAAACUGGGUCUAAUACCGGAUACGACCAAUCUCCGCAUGGGGUGUUGGUGGAAAGCGUUAUGGAGUGGUUUUAGAUGGGCUCACGGCCUAUCAGCUUGUUGGUGAGGUAAUGGCUUACCAAGGCGACGACGGGUAGCCGGCCUGAGAGGGUGACCGGCCACACUGGGACUGAGACACGGCCCAGACUCCUACGGGAGGCAGCAGUGGGGAAUAUUGCACAAUGGGCGCAAGCCUGAUGCAGCGACGCCGCGUGAGGGAUGACGGCCUUCGGGUUGUAAACCUCUGUUAGCAUCGAAGAAGCGAAAGUGACGGUAGGUGCAGAGAAAGCGCCGGCUAACUACGUGCCAGCAGCCGCGGUAAUACGUAGGGCGCGAGCGUUGUCCGGAAUUAUUGGGCGUAAAGAGCUUGUAGGCGGUUGGUCGCGUCUGCUGUGAAAGGCUGGGGCUUAACCCUGGUUUUGCAGUGGUACGGGCUAACUAGAGUGCAGUAGGGGAGACUGGAAUUCCUGGUGUAGCGGUGGAAUGCGCAGAUAUCAGGAGGAACACCGAUGGCGAAGGCAGGUCUCUGGGCUGUAACUGACGCUGAGAAGCGAAAGCAUGGGGAGCGAACAGGAUUAGAUACCCUGGUAGUCCAUGCCGUAAACGUUGGGCACUAGGUGUGGGGGACAUUCCACGUUUUCCGCGCCGUAGCUAACGCAUUAAGUGCCCCGCCUGGGGAGUACGGCCGCAAGGCUAAAACUCAAAGAAAUUGACGGGGGCCCGCACAAGCGGCGGAGCAUGCGGAUUAAUUCGAUGCAACGCGAAGAACCUUACCAAGGCUUGACAUAUACUGGACUGCGUCAGAGAUGGCGUUUCCCUUCGGGGCUGGUAUACAGGUGGUGCAUGGUUGUCGUCAGCUCGUGUCGUGAGAUGUUGGGUUAAGUCCCGCAACGAGCGCAACCCUCGUUCUAUGUUGCCAGCACGUGAUGGUGGGGACUCAUAGGAGACUGCCGGGGUCAACUCGGAGGAAGGUGGGGAUGACGUCAAAUCAUCAUGCCCCUUAUGUCUUGGGCUUCACGCAUGCUACAAUGGUCGGUACAGAGGGUUGCGAUACUGUGAGGUGGAGCUAAUCCCUAAAAGCCGGUCUCAGUUCGGAUUGGGGUCUGCAACUCGACCCCAUGAAGUCGGAGUCGCUAGUAAUCGCAGAUCAGCAACGCUGCGGUGAAUACGUUCCCGGGCCUUGCACACACCGCCCGUC
rnacentral:rRNA from 1 species